CGGGUCACACACGCGGGUCGCUGGGGCUAAAACGGCGCCGUUUGGAGCCACUGAUCAGACUCCAAACGGCGUCGUUUCACACAAAAGCAAACUCUAAAAACCCUAAAAAUCAGCAGCUACUAAACAAACUUAAAGAAAAAAAAAAAACUAAAUAAUAGCCUCCCCCCAGACUAAAACCUAAUCCCUCACAUCCUCAGCCGCCGCCUCCAAACCCAAAAAUCCGUCUAUCUCCGAUUGGGACGGAGUAAACGGAGCUCCGACGGCGCUCUCAGGUACAGUACGAGGACGUGGCGAGGUGCAACGUGCGGAGGUGCGCGUGGGAGGAGGCCACGCGUGGGAGCUUGCGGCGCCAGGGGAUCUAGAAACCCUAGGUGUUUCUGCUCUCAGGUUGGGAUUUGGGCUGAUUGGGCUUUCUGGAUAUUGGGUUAUAGAUUAGUGGGUUUGGGUUUUAGUUGGGUCUUUUGGGUUAGUGAUUUGGGUUAUAAUUUUGGGCUUGGUUUGUUAAGCAUUGGGCCCGGGCAAAAUUUGGGCCCUACAUCGUAUUAAAAGGAGUUAUGGUAA